UACGUAGGGGGCUAGCGUUGUCCGGAUUUAUUGGGCGUAAAGAGCGUGUAGGCGGCCAGGUAGGUCUGGUGUGAAAACUCGAGGCUUAACCUCGAGAUGUCAUCGGAAACCAUCUGGCUAGAGUCCGGAAGAGGAGAGUGGAAUUCCUGGUGUAGCGGUGAAAUGCGCAGAUAUCAGGAAGAACACCCGUGGCUAAGGCGGCUCUCUAGUACGGUACUGACGCUGAGGCGCGAAAGCGUGGGGAGCGAACAGG
rnacentral:rRNA from 1 species